rnacentral:misc_RNA from 1 species
UACGUAGGUGGCAAGCGUUGUUCGGAAUUACUGGGCGUAAAGGGCUCGUAGGCGGCCAACUAAGUCGGACGUGAAAUCCCUCGGCUCAACCGGGGAACUGCGUCCGAUACUGGAUGGCUUGAGUUUGGGAGGGGGAUGCGGAAUUCCAGGUGUAGCGGUGAAAUGCGUAGAUAUCUGGAGGAACACCGGUGGCGAAGGCGGCAUCCUGGACUAACACUGACGCUGAGGAGCGAAAGCCAGGGGAGCAAACGGG